rnacentral:lncRNA from 1 species
CAAGAGGCUGGGCCCUGCUGACCAGAGGGCCCCAGUCUUCUCUGAGCACAUGGGAAGGCACAGCUUCAGCAUCAGAAAAAAACUGGAAAGUCACUGUGAUUUUGGAAAGGAUAAGAUUGUAAUAAGGGCCUCUCUCCACUGCCCCAGGCCCCUGGACCAGAGGGCACCCCGUGGCCAAGACAUCUCCUGGGAGCCACUGUCCAAAGAGAUGCUGCCUCCACUUCUAUCACUCCAGACCCCAGGGGCCCCUGAGAGAUGCCUUUGGAAACAGAGCUUUUUAACACGCAAAGAACACAUCACUGUCCUACUCAA